rnacentral:rRNA from 1 species
UACGUAGGGUGCAAGCGUUAAUCGGAAUUACUGGGCGUAAAGCGUGCGCAGGCGGUUUUGUAAGACAGUGGUGAAAUCCCCGGGCUCAACCUGGGAACUGCCAUUGUGACUGCAAGGCUAGAGUGCGGCAGAGGGGGAUGGAAUUCCGCGUGUAGCAGUGAAAUGCGUAGAUAUGCGGAGGAACACCGAUGGCGAGGGCAAUCCCCUGGGCCUGCACUGACGCUCAUGCACGAAAGCGUGGGGAGCAAACAGG